rnacentral:lncRNA from 1 species
CGGGAAACAACAAGGAUGUUAGAGCAACAGUCAGCGAAAGGACUCACUGAACUGGAAAAUGCAGUUUUGACUGUAAACUCCAAAUCAUUUGAAACCUAUGGAGAUGUGAUGAUUGGCUUUGCUGGUAUUUUAUGGAGAGGAAUUCAAAGCUGUCAUCUGGUUAACAGUAAUUUUGCUGGAAGAUACAGCGACUGAACAAUGUAAAAUAUCUAAAGGGAAAAGGAAAUAAAACUGUGCUUUAAUUUGCAUUUGAUUGCCCUGAAAAAAAAGGUCAAAUGUAGACCUAUGACCCACUGGUCAAGAAGCCUGCAUUUAACAGGGGAAAGUGAUGAAAUUUGCUAACAUAAAAAAAUAGGAAGAUACCUACAUUAUUAUUUUACAUUUUACUAGAAGAGUAAAGGGAAGGGGAAGGGGUAAGGAUAGGGGAAGGAAACAGGAAAGAGGGAAGAGGGAAGAGGGAAGAGGGAAGAGGGAAGAGGGAAGAGGGAAGAGGGAAGAGGGAAGAGGGAAGAAGGAAGGGGAAGGGGAAGGGGAAGGGGAAGUGGGAAGAGGGAAGAGGGAAGGGGAAGGGGAGGGGGAAGAGGGAAGGGGAAGGGGAAGGGGAAGGGGGAAGAGGGAAGAGGGAAGGGGAAGAGGGAAGAGGAAAAGGAAAAGGAAAAGGAAAAGGAAAAGGAAAAGGAAAAGGAAAAGGAAAAGGAAAAGGAAAAGGAAAAGGAAAAGGAAAAGGAAAAGGAANGGAAAAGGAAAAGGAAAAGGAAAAGGAAAAGGAAAAGGAAAAGGAAAAGGAAAAGGAAAAGGAAAAGGAAAAGGAAAAGGAAAAGGAAGAGGAAGAGGAAAAGGAAAGGAAGAGGGAAAGGAAAAGGAAAAGGAAAAGGAAAAGGAAGAGGAAGAGGAAGAGGAAAAGGAAGAGGAAGAGGAAGAGGGAAAAGAAAAGGAAAAGGAAGAGGAAAAGGAAAAAGAAAAGGAAAAGGAAAAGGAAAAGGAAAAGGAAAAGGAAAAGGAAAAGGAAAAGGAAGAGGAAGAGGAAAAGGAAGAGGAAGAGGGAAAAGAAAAGGAAAAGGAAGAGGAAAAGGAAAAGGAAAAGGAAAAGGAAAAGGAAAAGGGAAAGGAAAAGGAAAAGGAAAAGGAAAAGGGAAAGGAAAAGGAAAAGGAAAAGGAAAAGGAAGAGGAAAAGGGAAGGGGAAGGGGAAGGGGAAGGGGAAGGGGAAGGGGAAGGGAAGGAGGGGAUUGCACUGGACAGUUUCUCCUGUGGUUGUUUCAGCAUACUGUGACAUUACAGCUCAGAGAAGAAAAGAGCUGGAAGAAAAAAAUCCUUUCUGCCCUGAAGCAAUACAAGGAGACUGAAUGAUGGUAUGGGUGUGCGCUAUGGGGGCAGACGGACCUCUGCUUUGGGACACGAGGUUGUGGAAACCAAAUGCCUUGCUUGUGCUCAGCCACAGGGGCGUUGGGACAGCUUUCAUUCACCAAUAGAGACGCAGACUGAUAUUCAAUAUAAAUGAUUAUUUUCUCAGUCUCACACUAUUCACUAUCCAAGGUGCAGCCAUCAUGAAAAAGUACCUUUUAUUUUAACUUCUUGCAGUUGGGGACUGUCACCAUACCUUCUCCUUCUUAAUCUCUCAUUUGAAAUGGUGCACUUCUUUGAGUCCAUCUGUGAGUUCCUCAAACCAGGAUACUCAUUUAUCUUAAGAUGCAUCACACUAAAAUUUGUGAAAGCAUGAUUUGGAACUGAAUCUAGAGCAACUUAAGUUCACUGAACUGAAUGGAGUUACUCAUGACAGUGAAUAAGAAAUAGGACAGGAAAAAAAGGGAAAAGAGGAGACUAAAUGGUGACAGAAAAACAGGAGAAAGAAUAAAGGAAGACAUUUAAGUGAAAGGCUUUUAAAC